CGAGGGGUAACAGAAGGAGCUUGCUCUUUGCUGACGACCGGCGCACGGGUGCGUAACGCGUAUACAAUCUACCUUAUACAGGAGGAUAGCCCUAAGAAAUUGGGAUUAAUACUCCAUAGUAUUUAUUUACCGCAUGGUAAAUAAAUUAAAACUCAGGUGGUAUAAGAUGAGUAUGCGUCCUAUUAGCUAGAUGGUAAGGUAACGGCUUACCAUGGCAACGAUAGGUAGGGGGCCUGAGAGGGUUAUCCCCCACACUGGUACUGAGACACGGACCAGACUCCUACGGGAGGCAGCAGUGAGGAAUAUUGGUCAAUGGAGGCAACUCUGAACCAGCCAUGCCGCGUGAAGGAAGAAUGUCCUACGGAUUGUAAACUUCUUUUAUUUGGGAAGAACUCCCUCUACGUGUAGAGGGCUGACGGUACCAAACGAAUAAGGACCGGCUAACUCCGUGCCAGCAGCCGCGGUAAUACGGAGGGUCCAAGCGUUAUCCGGAAUCAUUGGGUUUAAAGGGUUCGCAGGCGGUUUAUUAAGUCAGUGGUGAAAGCCUACAGCUCAACUGUAGAACUGCCAUUGAUACUGAUAGACUUGAAUUUAGUUGAAGUAGGCGGAAUGUGUAGUGUAGCGGUGAAAUGCUUAGAUAUUACACAGAACACCGAUAGCGAAGGCAGCUUACUAAACUACGAUUGACGCUCAUGAACGAAAGCGUGGGGAGCGAACAGGAUUAGAUACCCUGGUAGUCCACGCAGUAAACGAUGAUUACUCGUUAUUGGCGAUAUACGGUCAGUGACUAAGCGAAAGUGAUAAGU
rnacentral:rRNA from 1 species